GGACAUAGUGAAUUUCUUGAAAUGUCAAAGGAGGAUUGGAUACCUAUACCACAAUGACAUAAUUGCGAGGCAUACCAGGGAGCUCUCAACAUGGACGUGACAAAAAAACUUUUGUGUCUAACUGUGUUGGUCAAUUCGUUAUGAUAAGCCGCCCACAUGUUAGGUCCUUUGGGAUUACUAAACGGUUUGAUAAGUAUUCCAGAAAACACAGGGUACGAGAUUUCAUUGUUAAUUUUAAGAUGAUCAUUUCUAUCAAUUUCUUGGCAUGGUUGCCAUGGUUCUUGUCUCGGCACUCAAACAGGGAGGGGGAGAAAAAAAAACAAAAAAAAAGAACAAGAAGAAGAAGAAUUUCUUGACAUGUCAAAGGAGGAUUGGAUACCUAUACCAAAAUGACAUAAUUGCGAGGUAAGAAAAUGAAUUGACAUUUGAAGAAAACUGUGAAGGGCUUCGAAAUGAGCAGUAGAAUUUUUAGAUUCUCUUUAAAAUUGUUGCGUUCUGUUUUGAACGAUAAAAUUUAAUUAAAAAUUCUGCCUCCUAAUUUUUUAACUGGUCACAAACUAGAAUGUUCACAAUCUCGCCUUCUAUAUUUCCGGCGAAAAAAGAAUUGUUCUCGUGAAUGUAUCUGUCAUUCUAUUUUUGUAGGAUGGGCAGUCGAAUUCGGCGACUAUUGAUUUAGGGUUCUUGUCUCUUUUGUUACAUAAAGUUAGACAUUAAUUGUUGUAAGGAGUGUUGUAAGAAUGUUACGAUAGCAUCAAUUGUACACUGUUAGGCAGUGCAUUUUGUAUUAAUUGCAUAGUGUUCACAAGAAUGCUAUGCUAGUAUUCAGUUGGUUGUA